GGGCUGUUGCCGGUGCGCGGCCGGGCGCGGUACUGCAGCGCAGGGCACCGUCCACACACGCAUACGCACCCCCCGCCCCGUCCCCGCAGCACCGGCGGCCCCGCCGCGGCAGCCCAAGGCGGGCGGGCUGAAGCCCGGAGACAGAGAGAGAUCCGCGAUCCCCCGGGACAGGGGCUUACCCCUCGCCAGUCCCCGGGGGCUUCGGCUUCCCAGCCCGGGCGCGCUGUCAGGGCACAGAGGGUGGUAGUGAAGCUGCGAAAGGCAGCCUUCCUCCGGCCCGGCUCGGUUUCAAACGAGGGACUUAAUUCACCACAAGUAACUCCGGGCCGCUCAACUUCGAAGAUGUUAUUUGCUUUAUCGGCUUUUCUGGUAACUGAGCGAUGGAGCCACGUAAACGUGAGAGCUUCUAGACAAGGACUUCUAGUCCCCAGGCACCUGUUGAGUCCCCAUGGCUACUUGUGAGCUACUCAGGGGCUUUUCCUGCAGCCUGACUGUCCAGGUGUGGGAUGCUUCAACACAUCUGAGCCUCCUUACAGCAGUGACCACAGAGGUAAAGGAUGUUCCAGAGACUUUCUGCCUUGCAUCUUUCAAAAUUGUGAUGUAUUGCCAAGGAAUCACACAGAGGUUUGUGUUGUUACAGACAGGUUGCAGCAGUCACAUUCUGCAGGGCUGGGAAA